UGCGCCCCCAGACCCUGCGUCCCUGGUGAGGUCACUGCGAGUGCGUGCUUGGGCGGUCUCUCCGCGGGACCCCCAGAGGCCUUCGAGACCCGCGCUGCUUCUCCCUCAAGCAGAGGAAACAGAGGUCGUAGAGGUCGCAGAGAGGCCCCGGGUGAGGCCAUUGUGUGCCACGGGAGCUGUCUUGUUAGACAAGAACAUUCUAGAUGCACAUCCUUGAGGGACAUUAUUUUCUGCUGUGAGCUUGGUACAGAAGAAACCUGGCCGCUUAUCCCUUGUCCAUUGGGGACAUUUUCAUUGGUGUCAGCUUGAAGAAAGAUGAAAUGAUGUUGGAGGCCCAAAGGAAGGAAGCCUCAGGGACCGAAGCCCUUGCCAGGGUCUCCUCAUGCAGGAUUAACCCCAGGACUCUGGAAGAGUAUUGCAGGAGUGGUCAGAGCAGGAUUACUAUCUAGAAGAGCCACAAUCCUACCAGGAAAUCAUUACCUGCCACCAGGGACUUGUGAAGUAAUUGAUGGAGACUACAUGUGAGCAUCAAGUCAGAAUACAAUGGGACAAGA